GCAGUCGCCGCGGUAAUACGAAGGGGGCUAGCGUUGCUCGGAAUCACUGGGCGUAAAGGGUGCGUAGGCGGGUUUUUAAGUCAGAGGUGAAAUCCUGGAGCUCAACUCCAGAACUGCCUUUGAUACUGAAAGUCUUGAGUAUGGGAGAGGUGAGUGGAACUGCGAGUGUAGAGGUGAAAUUCGUAGAUAUUCGCAAGAACACCAGUGGCGAAGGCGGCUCACUGGCCCAUAACUGACGCUGAGGCACGAAAGCGUGGGGAGCAAACAGGAUUAGAUACCCGUGUAGUCCCUGUCUCUUAUAC
rnacentral:rRNA from 1 species